GUUGGUGAGGUAACGGCUCACCAAGGCGACGAUCCCUAGCUGGUCUGAGAGGAUGACCAGCCACACUGGAACUGAGACACGGUCCAGACUCCUACGGGAGGCAGCAGUGGGGAAUAUUGCACAAUGGGCGCAAGCCUGAUGCAGCCAUGCCGCGUGUAUGAAGAAGGCCUUCGGGUUGUAAAGUACUUUCAGCGGGGAGGAAGGUGUUGUGGUUAAUAACCGCAGCAAUUGACGUUACCCGCAGAAGAAGCACCGGCUAACUCCGUGCCAGCAGCCGCGGUAAUACGGAGGGUGCAAGCGUUAAUCGGAAUUACUGGGCGUAAAGCGCACGCAGGCGGUCUGUCAAGUCGGAUGUGAAAUCCCCGGGCUCAACCUGGGAACUGCAUUCGAAACUGGCAGGCUUGAGUCUUGUAGAGGGGGGUAGAAUUCCAGGUGUAGCGGUGAAAUGCGUAGAGAUCUGGAGGAAUACCGGUGGCGAAGGCGGCCCCCUGGACAAAGACUGACGCUCAGGUGCGAAAGCGUGGGGAGCAAACAGGAUUAGAUACCCUGGUAGUCCACGCCGUAAACGAUGUCUACUUGGAGGUUGUGCCCUUGAGGCGUGGCUUCCGGAGCUAACGCGUUAAGUAGACCGCCUGGGGAGUACGGCCGCAAGGUUAAAACUCAAAUGAAUUGACGGGGGCCCGCACAAGCGGUGGAGCAUGUGGUUUAAUUCGAUGCAACGCGAAGAACCUUACCUGGUCUUGACAUCCACGGAAGUUUUCAGAGAUGAGAAUGUGCCUUCGGGAACCGUGAGACAGGUGCUGCAUGGCUGUCGUCAGCUCGUGUUGUGAAAUGUUGGGUUAAGUCCCGCAACGAGCGCAACCCUUAUCCUUUGUUGCCAGCGGUCCGGCCGGGAACUCAAAGGAGACUGCCAGUGAUAAACUGGAGGAAGGUGGGGAUGACGUCAAGUCAUCAUGGCCCUUACGACCAGGGCUACACACGUGCUACAAUGGCGCAUACAAAGAGAAGCGACCUCGCGAGAGCAAGCGGACCUCAUAAAGUGCGUCGUAGUCCGGAUUGGAGUCUGCAACUCGACUCCAUGAAGUCGGAAUCGCUAGUAAUCGUGGAUCAGAAUGCCACGGUGAAUACGUUCCCGGGCCUUGUACACACCGCCCGUCACACCAUGGGAGUGGGUUGCAAAAGAAGUAGGUAGCUUAACCUUCGGGAGGGCGCUUACCACUUUGUGAUUCAUGACUGGGGUGAAGUCGUAACAAGGUAACCGUAGGGGAACCUGCGGUUGGAUCACCUCCUUACCU
rnacentral:rRNA from 2 species